GCACAAGCGGUGGAGCAUGUGGUUAAUUCGAAGCAACGCGAAGAACCUUACCAGGUCUUGACAUCCCUGACAACCCGAGAGAUCGGGCGUUCCCCUUCGGGGACAGGGUGACAGGUGGUGCAUGGUUGUCGUCAGCUCGUGUCGUGAGAUGUUGGGUUAAGUCCCGCAACGAGCGCAACCCUCGCCUCUAGUUGCCAGCAUUCGGUUGGGCACUCUAGAGGGACUGCCGGCGACAAGUCGGAGGAAGGUGGGAUGACGUCAAAUCAUCAUGCCCCUUAUGACCUGGGCUACACACGUGCUACAAUGGGCGGUACAAAGGGCUGCGAACCCGCGAGGGGGAGCGAAUCCCAAAAAGCCGCUCUCAGUUCGGAUUGCAGGCUGCAACUCGCCUGCAUGAAGCCGGAAUCGCUAGUAAUCGCGGAUCAGCAUGCCGCGGUGAAUACGUUCCCGGGCCUU
rnacentral:rRNA from 1 species